rnacentral:rRNA from 1 species
UACGAAGGGGGCGAGCGUUGUUCGGAAUUACUGGGCGUAAAGAGCUCGUAGGUGGUUUGUCGCGUUGUUCGUGAAAACUCACAGCUCAACUGUGGGCGUGCGGGCGAUACGGGCAGACUGGAGUACUGCAGGGGAGACUGGAAUUCCUGGUGUAGCGGUGAAAUGCGCAGAUAUCAGGAGGAACACCGGUGGCGAAGGCGGCAUCCCUGGACCGAAACUGA